rnacentral:snRNA from 1 species
GUGCUAGCUUUGGCAGCACGUAUACUAAAAUUGGAAUGAUUUGGAAAGAUUAGCAGGGCCCCUGCACAAGGAUGACACGCAAAUUCAUGAAGCGCUCCAUACGUAA